rnacentral:ncRNA from 2 species
AUUAAAUACACUUUUUCAGGUGCCGUUUAUCGGAGAAUAGGGAAUCGGGUGUAAUCCCCGAACGGGCCCGCCACUGUAAUGAACAGUGACUGUCACACGCCACUUCACAUUCCAAUGUAGAGGGAAGGCGGCAGUCACGCAAGAAAGCAACCGCGUUGCGUUAACUGCGUAAGCAGUUAUUAAGCCGCGAAAGAAAGUUUCCUUUAAAGCAUAAUACCAACGAUUCAAGGGAUUAUGAACAGUCUAACUUUCUUGAGCUGAAUGUCUAAGUCAGGAGACCUGCCUGGAGAAUCAGAAUAUU